AGCGGCGAGCGAACGGGGAGCAGCCCAGAGUCUGAAUCAGCUUGUGUGUUAGUGGAACGGUCUGGAAAGUCCGACGGUACAGGGUGAUAGUCCCGUACACCAAAAUGCACAAGCUGUGAACUCGAAGAGUAGGGCGGGACACGUGGUAUCCUGUCUGAAUAUGGGGGGACCAUCCUCCAAGGCUAAAUACUCCUGACUGACCGAUAGUGAACCAGUACCGUGAGGGAAAGGCGAAAAGA
rnacentral:rRNA from 1 species